rnacentral:rRNA from 1 species
CCUACGGGAGGCAGCAGUGGGGAAUAUUGGGCAAUGGGCGCAAGCCUGGCCCAGCAACGCCGCGUGAAGGAAGAAGGCUUUCGGGUUGUAAACUUCUUUUCUCAGGGACGAAGCAAGUGACGGUACCUGCGGAAUAAGCCACGGCUAACUACGUGCCAGCAGACGCGGUAAUACGUAGGUGGCAAGCGUUAUCCGGAUUUACUGGGUGUAAAGGGCGUGUAGGCGGGAAAGGAAGUCAGAUGUGAAAACCAUGGGCUCAACCUGUGGCCUGCAUUUGAAACUGUUUUUCUUGAGUACUGGAGAGGCAGACGGAAUUCCUGGUGUAGCGGUGAAAUGCGUAGAUAUUAGGAGGAACACCAGUGGCGAAGGCGGUCUGCUGGACAGCAACUGACGCUGAGGCGCGAAAGCGUGGGGAGCAAACAGGAUUAGAUACCCUUGUAGUC